rnacentral:rRNA from 1 species
AUACGUAUGUCGCAAGCAUUAUCCGGAUUUAUUGGGCGUAAAGCGCGUCUAGGCGGCUUAGUAAGUCUGAUGUGAAAAUGCGGGGCUCAACCCCGUAUUGCGUUGGAAACUGCUAAACUAGAGUACUGGAGAGGUAGGCGGAACUACAAGUGUAGAGGUGAAAUUCGUAGAUAUUUGUAGGAAUGCCGAUGGGGAAGCCAGCCUACUGGACAGAUACUGACGCUAAAGCGCGAAAGCGUGGGUAGCAAACAGGAUUAGAUACCCUGGUAGUCCACGCCGUAAACGGUGAUUACUAGGUGUUGGGGGUCGAACCUCAGCGCCCAAGCUAACGCGAUAAGUAAUCCGCCUGGGGAGUACGUACGCAAGUAUGAAACUCAAAGGAAUUGACGGGG